GCAUUGGUGGUUCAGUGGUAGAAUUCUCAACUUCCAUGUAGGAGACCAAGGUUCGAUCCCCGACCAAUGUA
rnacentral:tRNA from 1 species